rnacentral:rRNA from 1 species
GUGGCUUAAUUUGACUCAACGCGGGAAAUCUUACCGGGUCCGGACACACUGAGGAUUGACAGGUAUUAUAUAGCGCGCUUGCGCGUCUAUUGUUAAAUAUGCUAGUCCUUUCAUGAUUAUGUGAUAGGUGGUGCAUGGCCGUUCUUAGUUCGUGGAGUGAUCUGUCUGCUUAAUUGCGUUUCAGAUAAGGAUCUAUAUUCUUUACAGAAGUGUUGCGU